UGGGGAAUUUUGGACAAUGGGCGAAAGCCUGAUCCAGCAAUGCCGCGUGUGUGAAGAAGGCCUUCGGGUUGUAAAGCACUUUUGUCCGGAAAGAAAUCCUUGGCUCUAAUACAGUCGGGGGAUGACGGUACCGGAAGAAUAAGCACCGGCUAACUACGUGCCAGCAGCCGCGGUAAUACGUAGGGUGCAAGCGUUAAUCGGAAUUACUGGGCGUAAAGCGUGCGCAGGCGGUUUGCUAAGACCGAUGUGAAAUCCCCGGGCUCAACCUGGGAACUGCAUUGGUGACUGGCAGGCUAGAGUAUGGCAGAGGGGGGUAGAAUUCCACGUGUAGCAGUGAAAUGCGUAGAGAUGUGGAGGAAUACCGAUGGCGAAGGCAGCCCCCCUGGGCCAAUACUGACGCUCAUGCACGAAAGCGUGGGGAGCAAAACAGGAUUAGAUACCCUGGUAGUCCACGCCCUAAACGAUGUCAACUAGUUGUUGGGGAUUCAUUUCCUUAGUAACGUAGCUAACGCGUGAAGUUGACCGCCUGGGGAGUACGGUCGCAAGAUUAAAACUUAAAUGAAUUGACGGGGUCAUAGCUG
rnacentral:rRNA from 1 species